CUGGAUAUCCUGUUAGCCUGACUGUUCCAAGUAUAGUGUGCUAACAUCUGGUUUGAUUUAGGAAGAUGAAGAGAGAAGAUGCCAGAAAGGUGAGGUCGCAGACACCAGAAAGGAGAGGACUUGGAGUGGGGCCGGGAGUUGACGAAGCCCACAGGAAAUCGAUGGAGGACCAACGGAAGGGAAACUAGGAAGAUGAAGCGAGAAGAUGCCAGAAAGGAGAGGUCACAGACAUCAGAAAGGAGGGGACUUGGAGUGGGGCCGGGUGUCAACAAAGCCUGGGGAAAUCGAUGGAGGACCAAUGGAAAGGAAACCGUGAGCUCCAACUUGUGUACAUUAGACUGUUUCAUUAAAAUGGGCCCUUUUCUUUUUGUUUUUCUUUACUAACCCUUUAGUUAAAUUAAGAAUUAUAAAACU